GUUUCAAAUGCAAUCACUGGCUUUAAAGGAAAACGCACAGACCCAUCGGACCACCGCUGAGAGGAGAAUCCUCACCUGUUCCUUAUUCCUUGGAUUCUGAGUCCUCACUGAACCCUCCUCUCUGCCAAGGACCAGAAGGGCUGGACAGGAUUGUGCUGUGCUGCUCGAGACGAGAGGGCCAGGGCCUUGGAAAUGCGUCAAGAGCAAGAAGACAGGAGGAAACAGAG
rnacentral:lncRNA from 1 species